rnacentral:lncRNA from 1 species
GGCUGCUGCUCAGUAGCCAAGAAUGGAUAGAUGGAUAGAAGACAACUGGUAUCAAUCCACAUAUAAGAAAAUUAAGAACAAAUAUGACAGCAUACAUAAGUUUGAUACUUAUAAACAUCACCAAGAAUUAUGGAUAUGAAGAAGACCUCUCAGGGAAUGACUUUGU